rnacentral:rRNA from 1 species
UACCAGCACCCCGAGUGGUCGGGACGAUUAUUGGGCCUAAAGCAUCCGUAGCCGGUCAUGCAAGUCUUCCGUUAAAUCCAGCCGCUCAACGGUUGGGCUGCGGAGGAUACUACGUGGCUAGGAGGCGGGAGAGGCAAGCGGUACUCAGUGGGUAGGGGUAAAAUCCUUUGAUCCAUUGAAGACCACCAGUGGCGAAGGCGGCUUGCCAGAACGCGCUCGACGGUGAGGGAUGAAAGCUGGGGGAGCGAACCGG